GACGAACGCUGGCGGCGUGCUUAACACAUGCAAGUCGAACGGAAAGGCCCUGCUUUGGUGGGGUGCUCGAGUGGCGAACGGGUGAGUAACACGUGAGUAACCUGCCCUGGACUUUGGGAUAACUUCAGGAAACUGGGGCUAAUACCGGAUAGGAGCGCCCGCUGCAUGGUGGGGGGUGGAAAGUUUCGGCGGUUGGGGAUGGACCCGCGGCUUAUCAGCUUGUUGGUGGGGUAGUGGCUUACCAAGGCGUUGACGGGUAGCCGGCCUGAGAGGGUGACCGGCCACAUUGGGACUGAGAUACGGCCCAGACUCCUACGGGAGGCAGCAGUGGGGAAUAUUGCACAAUGGGCGGAAGCCUGAUGCAGCAACGCCGCGUGCGGGAUGACGGCCUUCGGGUUGUAAACCGCUUUCGCCUGUGACGAAGCGUGAGUGACGGUAAUGGGUAAAGAAGCACCGGCUAACUACGUG
rnacentral:rRNA from 1 species